rnacentral:ncRNA from 1 species
UGUCUGGAUAGAGGAGCGAAGACCAUGAGUAGGUGUCAGGAGUCGCCAGCAAAGAUUGGCGCUAAAAGGGGUCAUCGCCGAAGCGAUUAACCGCAGGCAAAGGUAAAUUGCUGGGCUUAUGCUAAACAGGUAUAAGACUGUCACCUGACUGUAGGUGGAGUGCUAUCUUGCAA